GCCUGGCUGGCUCAGUUGGUGGAGUGGGGGACUCUUGAUCUCAGGGUGGUGGGUUUGAGCCCCACUUUGGGCA
rnacentral:tRNA from 1 species